GCAUAAUAGCAUACCAACCUAUACACACAUAAUAUUUGAAGCUAAGCAGGGUUGCCUGGUUAGUAUUUGGAUAGGAGAUUACCUGGGAAUACCAGGCAUAUUCUUUU
rnacentral:rRNA from 1 species